CUCUGGUGGGGUCGAAUGAGGACUGGCUCAAUAACCUCACUAUGAUAGAUGAGUACCUGGAGCAGAACUCAUAGGAGUGUGGUCAAAGGGUAAAUGUCAGGGGUCAGUAAAUUGACCUCAUUCCUGUAUAGAAACACUGGGGUUAGGAGUGUGACAUGGACAGGGGAUAUAAAGGGCGUAUGAAGGCUUUAUAACUGGUAAUAACAGGUGUGUGUACAUUUCUAGAAGGUUGUAGAAAGUGCCAUGGUUAUACCUAACUUGAAUGGACGGUUUGAGUGAAUGUGAUUGGUUGCUUCAGAGUGAUCGGAGCACUACACAGCCAUUCCGCUGCUGCCACAUAAACCAACCUCCCUCCCCAAAAUGGCUACAUUCCCCACAAGGUGUGCUGUCCCUUAUCGCUGGAGGCCAUAUUGGAAAUAGGGAAUGGACUAAAAACGGAACUCACGGAACACAUGGAACACACAGAACCUCAUCAUCACAUGGUUACCUGGGAAACAGAAGCUUCACUCUAAAGAGCUAGCAACAGAGUAGUGGAGUCCAAGCAUUCUCAUUGGUUGUUUCUGUGUCUGAAGCUUGAACAUUGGACUAAUAAAGCUAUUUGAAAUCCUCUCCCUUGUAGGGAUUUCUCCUAUCAAAGGGAUAGGUGUAUAAAACACACUGUGAUUGGAUGAAAUCAAUGUCCUCCAGCAAUGCAAUUGGUCCAAUGUUUUUCAGUGUUUUAUUGUGAUCUGUUUCUAAAAUAGCAGUUGAAUUUGCAACACCAAAUCUGAGGUUUACUUUUGUAUCAAAGUCAUUGAGUGUGAUUUGGAAGCAUAGCUCAAAAACACAACAAUUGCAGAUUAACCAUUCGGAUUAUCUCCUGCUCUCACAUAAGGUCUUUGAGCCAGUCAAAGGUGAAUUAAUACACAGGGAAAUACAGCCAAUCCCUGAUCAAUUUGGGGUAAUAUAAAUCACUGAUUGGCCAACGGAACUACAGAGGUGAUCAGCCAAUGUUGCCAUGGCAAUUUGUUAUCACUAUUUUGAUUGAGAUCAGUUAUGUGGGGGCUUGUACAUAGUAAACUAUUUUGAUUGGGAUCAGGUCUGUGGGGGCUUGUAAAUAGUGAACUAUUUUGAUUGGGAUCAGGACUGUGGGGGCUUGUAAAUAGUGAACUAUUUUGAUUGGGAUCAGGUCUGUGGGGGCUUGUAAAUAGUAAACUAUUUUGGUAAACUGUAUCAUACACAAAAGAGAAGUACACAUAUUUAUACUUCUUUUCUGCAGAUUAAAAGUCUUCAGAUUCCCUUUGUACAUAAAUAAUAAAAUAAAAAGAUUGAAAUUAUAGCUCACAAAAUGAAAUCUGUUUUACACUAGAAGAAUCUUAUUUUAAUUUGUUUUAAAUAUGCAAGACAAUACAGUUUGGGUUUUUUCUCAGUAAUACUGUGUAUUACAAUGUUAUGACAUAAUUGUUAUGUUUUUGACAUAACGUGACUCCUGGUGCCCCAAUGGCAAAAGGGUUAUUUUCAAAGGUGAUGGAGAACAUUUACAAACACACACACACCAUCUCUCCAUCUCUCACUCUGGCACUACCCCGCACUCCAUACCUGUGAGGUGAAAGUUGAUCAUCUUGGUCCAUCUACUGUAGUGUAAUAUCUUUGUUCACAGACAAUAUAUCUGUCGAUUUAGACAUUAUCAACAUUUCAUUGCAAUCCAAGACUACAAUAUAAUCUGUUAGAUCUGUAUGACCUUUUCACAAGGUAAACAACGUGUAAAGUGGAAGGCACUAUCAUAGAAUUAGAAUGAGUAGAACAGGCACACCCAUUCAACUCAAUUGUGCUAUUGGGUUCCAAUUCCUUUCAUUUCGUUCUAUUUCUAAUGGCACUUUGCUAUGUAUGUCAUUCCAAUACCCACAACAAUCUGCUGUGCCGCACUCUAUAAGGACACAUGUAAAUAGUCUAUAGAGUUGGCUCCUCUCCUUGUCUCCUUUCAUUCAUUCACACGGAUCUGAACAAAAUUACUGGUCGGGUGAAAGCUGGUUUGCUCGUAGGAUUCCGCCAAAUAGCUUUCACCUAUCCUAUUCCUAUCCAUUCACAUUGGUGCUGAUGACAGAGAGGAGACUAGGAGAGUAAGCUUGUUAUGACUAUUAGGAGGCACCCCCAGCAGGGUUUCCCCUACCUUAGGACCACACGGCGAUUUAUAAGCCAUGACAAGGGGUUCAUCCAUUAUCUGUGAUUACAUUUUUGUUCUUG
ensembl:lncRNA